GACGAACGCUGGCGGCGUGCCUAAUACAUGCAAGUUGAGCGCUGAAGGUUGGUACUUGUACCAACUGGAUGAGCAGCGAACGGGUGAGUAACGCGUGGGGAAUCUGCCUUUGAGCGGGGGACAACAUUUGGAAACGAAUGCUAAUACCGCAUAAAAACUUUAAACACAAGUUUUAAGUUUGAAAGAUGCAAUUGCAUCACUCAAAGAUGAUCCCGCGUUGUAUUAGCUAGUUGGUGAGGUAAAGGCUCACCAAGGCGAUGAUACAUAGCCGACCUGAGAGGGUGAUCGGCCACAUUGGGACUGAGACACGGCCCAAACUCCUACGGGAGGCAGCAGUAGGGAAUCUUCGGCAAUGGACGAAAGUCUGACCGAGCAACGCCGCGUGAGUGAAGAAGGUUGUCGGAUCGUAAAACUCUGUUGGUAGAGAAGAACGUUGGUGAGAGUGGAGAGCUCAUCAAGUGACGGUAACUACCCAGAAAGGGACGGCUAACUACGUG
rnacentral:rRNA from 1 species